rnacentral:rRNA from 1 species
UUGCCAUCAUUCAGUUGGCACUCUAGCGAGACUGCCCGGUAAUAAACCGGAGGAAGUGGGGAUGACGUCAAAUCAUCAUGCCCCUUAUGACCUGGGCUACACACGUGCUACAAUGGUUGGUACAACGAGUUGCGAGUCGGUGACGGCGAGCUAAUCUCUUAAAGCCAAUCUCAGUUCGGAUUGUAGGCUGCAACUCGCCUACAUGAAGUCGGAAUCGCUAGUAAUCGCGGAUCAGCACGCCGCGGUGAAUACGUUCCCGGGCCUU